CCUACGGGUGGCAGCAGUGAGGAAUAUUGGUCAAUGGACGCAAGUCUGAACCAGCCAUGCCGCGUGCAGGAAGACUGCUCUAUGAGUUGUAAACUGCUUUUGUACGGGGGUAAACUCAGACACGCGUAUCUUUCUGAAAGUAUCUUACGAAUAAGGAUCGGCUAACUCCGUGCCAGCAGCCGCGGUAAUACGGAGGAUUCAAGCGUUAUCCGGAUUUAUUGGGUUUAAAGGGUGCGUAGACGGGUGGAUAAGUUAGUGGUGAAAUCCCGAGGCUCAACUUUGGAAUUGCAACUGAUACUGUUAGGCUAGAGAGUAGUUGCGGUAGGCGGAAUGUAUGGUGUAGCGGUGAAAUGCUUAGAGAUCAUAAAGAACACCGAUUGCGAAGGCAGCUUACCAAGCUGCUACUGACGUUGAGGCACGAAAGCGUGGGGAGCAAACAGGAUUAGAUACCCCAGUAGUC
rnacentral:rRNA from 1 species